AAAAAAGGUAAGCUACUAAGAGCAAAUGGUGGAUGCCUUGGCUAGUAGAGGCGAUGAAAGACGUGCCAGGCUGCGAUAAGUCUCGGGGAGCCGUCAAGGGGCUUUGAUCCGGGAAUUUCUGAAUGGGGCAACCCAGUAUAUAGUGAUAUAUACUACCGCAAUGCGGAGCUAACGUUGGGAAUUGAAACAUCUUAGUACCAACAGGAAAAGAAAUCAAAAGAGAUUACGCUAGUAGCGGCGAGCGAACGCGUAAGAGGGCAAACCGUUAGUUUACUAACGGGGUUGUAGGACUGCAACAUAGACUUAAACAAACUAAUAGAAUAACCUGGAAAGGUUGGCCAUAGAGGGUGAUAGCCCCGUAUAUGAAAGUGCGUUUAUACUUAGCAGUAUCCUGAGUAGGGCGGGACACGUGAAAUCCUGUCUGAAGCUGGGGAGACCACUCUCCAACCCUAAAUACUACUACUAGACCGAUAGUGCACAAGUACCGUGAGGGAAAGGUGAAAAGAACUGAGGUGAUCAGAGUGAAAUAGAACCUGAAACCAUUUGCUUACAAUCAUUCAGAGCACGAUUCUUUAUGACGUGUGAUGGACUGCCUUUUGCAUAAUGAGCCUGCGAGUUGUGGUGUCUGGCGAGGUUAAGGAAACCCGGAGCCGUAGCGAAAGCGAGUCUUAAUAGGGCGUAUAGUCAGAUGCUGCAGACCCGAAACGAUGUGAUCUAUCCAUGAGCAGGUUGAAACUGGUGUAAGAGCCAGCGGAGGACCGAACAGACGGCCGUUGAAAAGGCUCCUGAUGACUUGUGGAUAGGGGUGAAAGGCCAAUCAAACAUCGUGAUAGCUGGUUCUCUCCGAAAUAUAUUUAGGUAUAGCGUUGUGUCGUAAUUAUAAGGGGUAGAGCACUGAAUGGGCUAGGGCAUAUACCAAUGUACCAAACCCUAUCAAACUCCGAAUACUUAUAAUGUAAUCACAGCAGUCAGGCGGCGAGUGAUAAAAUCCGUCGUCAAGAGGGGAACAACCCAGACUAACAGCUAAGGUCCCUAAAUCUCAUUUAAGUGGAAAACGAUGUGGAGUUACUGAAACAACCAGGAGGUUGGCUUAGAAGCAGCCAUCCUUUAAAGAAAGCGUAAUAGCUCACUGGUCUAGUGAUUCUGCGCGGAAAAUAUAACGGGGCUAAAAUGAGUACCGAAGCUUUAGACUUAGUUUUUAACUAAGUGGUAGGAGAGCGUUCUAUUCAGCGUUGAAGGUAUACCGGUAAGGAGUGCUGGAGCGGAUAGAAGUGAGCAUGCAGGCAUGAGUAGCGAUAAUUGAUGUGAGAAUCAUCAACGCCGAAAACCCAAGGUUUCCUACGCGAUGCUCGUCAUCGUAGGGUUAGUCGGGUCCUAAGCAAAGUCCGAAAGGGGUAUGCGAUGGAAAAUUGGUUAAUAUUCCAAUACCAAUUAUUAUGUGCGAUGGAAGGACGCUUAAAGUUAGUGGAGCUAGCGGAUGGAAGUGCUAGUCUAAGGGUGUAGGUUGAGUUAUAGGCAAAUCCGUAACUCUUUAUCCGAGACCUAAAAGGCUCAUGACGCUCUUCGGAGUAGAUUGAGAAUCCAUGAUACUAUCGAGCCAAGAAAAGUUUCUAAGUUUAGUAAUAAUUGCCCGUACCGUAAACCGACACAGGUGGGUGGGAUGAGUAUUCUAAGGCGCGUGGAAGAACUCUCUUUAAGGAACUCUGCAAAAUAGCACCGUAUCUUCGGUAUAAGGUGUGCCUAACUUUGUAUUAAGAUUCACUCCCAAAGCAAAGAAGGUUACAACAAAGAGUCCCUCCCGACUGUUUACCAUAAACACAGCACUCU
rnacentral:rRNA from 1 species